rnacentral:rRNA from 1 species
CAGCAGUAGCCGCGGUAAUACGGAGGAUCCAAGCGUUAUCCGGAAUCAUUGGGUUUAAAGGGUCCGUAGGCGGUCUUGUAAGUCAGUGGUGAAAGCCCAUCGCUCAACGGUGGAACGGCCAUUGAUACUGCAGGACUUGAAUUAUUGGGAAGUAACUAGAAUAUGUAGUGUAGCGGUGAAAUGCUUAGAGAUUACAUGGAAUACCAAUUGCGAAGGCAGGUUACUACCAAUUGAUUGACGCUGAUGGACGAAAGCGUGGGUAGCGAACAGGAUUAGAUACCCCUGUAGUCCCUGUCUCUUAUAC